AAAAAGUUUGGACACCCCUGCUCUAAACCAAUUAAUCUCUCAUUUUCAGUGUUUCUUUUUGCUCAACAACAGCAGAACUUUAACUACCAAAGCUAAAUGCUGUUUUCAUUUUCAACCUUUAUAACAUGACUGAAAACAAAGGACUGACACAGGUGUACCUGAGUAGGAAUUUAAAACUAUACAUUUAAUAAGUGUUACUGAUGUCCUAAUUUGAUAUGUUAAAUAUAAGAAAUUCUGUUCUAUAAUCUAUACCUACCUUUUGGGGUAUAUCUGCAAUUGAGCUGAGAGGUGUGUUUCCCUGUUCACAUAGGGAUGACAUAGGAAAUUACCAUCUUGAUCUUGUAAAACACAGUCAAGUCUUUAUUUGAGUCAUCAUGGGAGAGACAAGGUGCAAGAAGUGAUAUCUUUUAUGCAAGCAAUUUCUGUUGUUGACUGAGAUAAGUUUUUGAGGUCACUAAGUGUUUUUCAGGUCUGUGUAAACUUGAAUGCUUGUCUUUUUUACCAAUAGGAGUUGAUCUAAUAAAAUGUUACCUCAUCCACCUUGUGUCUCUAAUAUUUUAGGACCAACAUUACAACAAUCAUAGGAGCACAUUUAAUUUGUAGCAUCCUAGGUCCUAAUUGCUUGUCCUUUCUUCAACUAGGAAAACAACCUUUUUCCUAUUAAAAUAAUCUGUUUGGACUGAUAGCUUUGAUAUCUCAUAGGAAUUAAGUGCUGCUUGCUGAUGGCUAAAGUUGCCAUUGUGGGCCCACAUGUAUCAACAAAUACAGGUGGGACCUCCCUGGGUCCAGCAUCUUCAGGACCAGGGUAAGUCAAGGCUCUCCUCUCAGUUGUCAGCCCUGCUCUCUGCGCUCCUGAAUCUGCCCAGAUGGGGCUUUCUAGUCGGCAAUACCCAUGGUCCUGCCACACCAAGGAUGUUGCCAGACCCGAGACCUGGAUUUUAGAGGUUCAACCAGCAUAUACCACAUAUGUGUUUUGAUGAGUAAAUAAAUCUAUUUUUUUUGUUUAUGGUCUAUGUAAAUUGGUAUUGUUAAGUAGCUAGAAUCCUCUUGCAUGCUUAAAUAUCCUUGAGGCUGAUGUAGUAUGUAUAGGACAGUAUCCACUGACAAAAGAUUUAGGAUUAGAGUAAAGGAAGAACAGGCUACACAACAACCAAGUUAUUCCUUUACUACUUCCUUAUAGUGCAAGUUACCCCUUUUAGUGUACAUUAAUAACGCGAAAGGAAUUUGUACUGUGAUGUACUUUUACAUUGGAAGCCCUUAGCAAAGUGCAGGUCAGGUGACUGAGAUUAGAAGGAUGAAUCUCUAGUUGUUCACAGAAUGCUUUUUUUCAUAGGCUGCUUGAAGAGAUGGAAAUGGAGAUAACUAUUUCUAGCAUGCCAGGUUGCCAGAUGUGGGGCUAUACACAGACAAACAUUCCACAGGAUCACUGUGGGUACUUACUGUAGCACCUGGCACUGGCCACUAGCAGAAGACAAGAUACUUGGUUAGAGGAACCUUGGGGCUGACCCAGUAUGGAUAGCCUUAUGUUCUUAAUUGCACGGGAACGGCAACUCUAAAUCCCUUGUUUGGAGAGCAAGGGAUGUAAGUCCCCACCCACAAAGAGGUGACAGCUGGAAACCUAAAAGGGAUAUCCUUGAGCAGAUCAGGAAGGGAGCAAAGGCACAGUGCUAAGACUACUAAACCAGAAUUUGGUUCUGCGUUAUGGUAUUUGGCAUGUGAAUUUGCUGGGGAUACAGAAGCAUUAUUACAUGCUACAAUUUGCUGCAGCUGGACCAACUGCGAGAGGGGGGCGGUCAACACCACCCAGGACAGCCUCCCAACUCUGAGUGACCCACUGGUGCAGGAGAACCAAGAAGAAAUUCCAGUGGGAGCACAUCUCCGCUCUGUGAGCCCUGCAGGACUCCAUGGACUAGAGACUGAAGGAGGACAUCCAGCUGCGGUGAAAGACCUGGCGGGAGAUGCUGGAUCAGGGCCACACCAUCUGCGUGGCUGAAAAGCACUCGGCGGGUGACAUGGUGCCUACCCCAGUCCUGCUGCUGCUGCUCCUUCCUCAGCUCCUGCCGCUCCCUCUAAUCUCUGCCCUAUGGCUACCAAGGUCUGUAACCAGCUUCCUGGCUCCGCAGCGGUGUCCGGUGCAUGGGGCUUUAGCGUCCCGGUGCCCCUAGUCCUACCCUAGGUCUGGAGUCGCCGGUUCUAGACCUCCCGUCUCCUGCGGUCAGUGUCCUGAGGCUCCCGUCUCUCCACCUCCACUCCCGCUGGCCUCUCCUUCCCAGUUGCUCCUGGCAACGGCCUCCAUCCAGGUUCCCUUCUCGGGCUGCCACCGCUGCGUCCCACCCCGUUCCAGCCUUUCCUCUCCGCCGAGGGCUUCCGGGUCCGCGCUCUGCCUCCCCACCUGUGAGAGGAACAACUGCUGGCAGCACCCCCUCUACCUGGCUUCUCUGGCCAUUUUUAAACUCCCCGCCCGGCGCGGCCCCAGCUUCCACCCCCGCUGGUGCCCAUCCCGCACCUCUGGGUCCUUCCGCCAGCCGGGUUACGCUCUGGCUUUCCAGCACAUGCGCGCCUGUGUUGUGGGCGCCCCCUGCUUUCCCCGAGCCGCAGGGUUCUCGGUCCACCUUUUCCAC